rnacentral:snoRNA from 1 species
UAUGAAGCUUUGUAGACCCACAUUGUGGAACUGCCUCAUAGAGCAACUAGGUGGUUUGCUUUACUCCCAGAACUAUUUGUUGGAUCCACGAGAAAGAACCAAGACAACG